CACGUAGGGGGCAAGCGUUGUCCGGAAUCAUUGGGCGUAAAGCGCGCGUAGGCGGCCAGAUAAGUCCGGUGUGAAAGUCAAAGGCUCAACCUUUGAAUGCCGCUGGAAACUAUCUGGCUAGAGUCCGGAAGGGGCGAGUGGAAUUCCUGGUGUAGCGGUGAAAUGCGCAGAUAUCGGGAAGAACACCGGUGGCGAAGGCGGCUCUCUGGACCUGUCCUGACGCUCAGGCGCGAAAGCUAGGGGAGCGAACAGG
rnacentral:rRNA from 1 species